AACGUAGGAGACAAACGUUAUCCGGAGUUACUGGGCGUAAAGGGCGUGUAGGCGGUUAGUUAAGUCUGGCGUGAAAGCUCUCGGCUAAACCGGGAGAGGUCGUUGGAUACUGGCUGACUAGAGGACGGUAGAGGCGUGUGGAAUUCCGGGUGUAGUGGUGAAAUGCGUAGAGAUCCGGAGGAACACCAGUGGCGAAGGCGACACGCUGGGCCGUACCUGACGCUAAAGCGCGACAGCAUGAGGAGCAAACGGG
rnacentral:rRNA from 1 species